UUUAUUGGAUCAUGAAAUUGAAAUGACAGGUCUGGAGAGCUGAACCUCCCUGGCUCCAUCUCUACUCGUCAACACACCCUCCUCCCCGCAAACCUCCUCCCUGUCCUUGAAGUAGGAGCUUUGAGAGUAACUCUUCAACAGAGAAACCCCUCUAAGCUUUCUCCAGAAUGUUUUCAGGGCGAGCUCGUGAAAUUUUCUGCAGGGACAAUAUUUCUAAGCACCCUGGAAACUCUGGAAGCAUUACAGUGGCUUAUGUUACACGUUGAGCAGGCGGACUGGAGGCUGUGCACACACACAGUGGAGAUGCGCGCAGUCCACGACCACACCACACAUCCCAGCAGACGGAGGCUGAGCGACGUGCUGAGGACGUGGACGGAGACCGUCACUGGCCGCCUCGUUGGAGGUUCUUGUACGCACCGCUGUUUACGUGAGACUAAGUCCAGCGGGCAGAGAGGUGCCGCUGGGAUCCUGGAAGAGUCGCUCUCAUAGUCAUGUGGAACUGGGGAAAGGGUAUGAGCCUGACGCUGUAGUCUUUAAAAAUUGUGGUCCCUUGUCCUCCAAUGACAGAACUGCAUCUGAAUAAUUUCAGGGAGUUAUGAGAAAUACAGAUUCCUGGGUUCCAGCACACGCUUACUGAGUCAAAAGCCUCCAUCGUAGGGCCCAAGGAAAGCACUUUUGCAGCUUCAGCAGGUGAUGGUGAUACAGCCUGAGCUCCAAGAACUGAGAGGCAGGCGUCAGGUGCAGUUAAGAAGAGGAAAAGAAUUGGAGUUUUUUUUUUUGAAUAGAGGGA